ACCGACUCUCUUUUCGGACUCAGUCCGCCUGCACCCGGGUGAAAUAAACAGCCAUGUUGCUCACACAAAGCCUGUUUGGUGGUCUCUUCACACGGACGUGCAUGAAAUUUGGUGCCGUGACUCGGAUCGGGGGACCUCCCUUGGGAGAUCAAUCCCCUGUCCUCCUGUUCUUUGCUCCACGAGAAAGAUCCACCUACGACCUCAGGUCCUCAGACUGACCAGCCCAAGGAACAUCUCACCAAUUUUAAAUCAGCCACUCCCAGAGCCCCUGGAACUCUGGCCCAAGGCUGACUGACUCCUUCCCAGAUCUUCUCGGCUUAGCGGCUGAAGACUGACACUGCUUGAUCGCCUCGGAAGCCCCCUAGACCAUCACAGACGCCGAGCUUCCGGUAACUCUCACAGUGGAAGAAGGCAGGAAUGUCAGGCCUCUGAGCCCAAGCCAAGCCAUGGCAUCCCCUGUGAUUUGCACAUGUACGCCCAGAUGGCCUGAAGUAACUGAAGAAUCACAAAAGAAGUGAAUAUGCCCUGCCCCACCUUAACUGAUGACAUUCCACCACAAAAGAAGUGUAAAUGGCCAGUCCUUGCCUUAAGUGAUGACAUUACCUUGUGAAAGUCCUUUUCCUGGCUCAUCCUGGCUCAAAAAGCACCCCCACUGAGCACCUUGCGACCCCCACUGCUGCCUGCCAGAGAACAACCCCCCUUUGACUGUAAUUUUCCUUUACCUACCCAAAUCCUAUAAAACGGCCCCACCCCUAUCUCCCUUCACUGACUCUCUUUUCGGACUCAGUCCGCCUGCACCCGGGUGAAAUAAACAGCCAUGUUGCUCACA
rnacentral:lncRNA from 1 species